GGACUAAUAUGUCGGUCGUGCUUUUGUACGUACUGAUAUAAUUGGUUUCUCCCUUCUGAAGAACCUUGAUGUCAUUAAUUUGGUGUCUUGGGGAAUCAGGACUGUUACUUUGAAAAAAUUAGAGUGUUUAAAGCAGGCUCGCGCUUGAAUACAUUAGCAUGGAAUAAUGAAAUAGGACGU
rnacentral:rRNA from 1 species